AGGUAGGAAAAUGUAUCCAUGUAGGUAAAGGUCGUGGAUCCAGUGGUAGAUUUAAUUCGAGCAAGUAUGGUAAAGCCUUUAAUAGAACUCUUCGAAGGCAGAGGUGAUAAAUUCAGGGCUUAUGGUAAUGCUCAUAUUUCACUUACGGAUUUCAUAAAUUCCAUGGUGGAACUUAUUAGUUCUCAAAUGGAUAUUGUUGGUGAUUCAGAUGCUUAAAAAAAUGGAAAAAGAUUGCAAGACUCAUUUUGUUUCGAUUAGUAAAAGUUUGUGUUCACUUGUUUAUUUCUUGUGUUUGAUAUGGAUUUGUCUAUUUUUUCAUGGAAUUGUCAAGGUUGUGCUAGUACAAAUUUUUUGUGUAUUUUUCACGAGUAUGAUUUAGAGUAUAAGUCAGAUAUUGUCUGUCAAUUAGAAGCUAGGGUUAGUGGAGCAAAAGUAGAUGACAUCGUCGUCAAGUUAGGUUUUCAGUUUUCUCAUUGUGUGGAGGUCGUUGGUUUCUCAUGAGGGAUUUGGGUUGGCUAAAAGGACUCAAUUAGGGUUGACGUAAUUCAUAGUCAUCCCAAAUUUAUCUUUGAUCAGGGUUCUUGGGCACUUUCAACAACUUCCUAUCUUUAUAGCUUUUGUGUAUGGUAAUCUUGACAGACAAAAAUGAAAAACUCUGUUGGAGGGUUUAAAUGCUACUAUAUACCUCUCAGAAGUGUUCCAUAGCUUGUUAUUAGAGACUUUAGUGCCAUUUUGUUUGAUAGUAAGAAGAAAUGUGGACGGGUCCGAGGUAUCAGGUGUUCUCUUUUUGAGAUUUUUAUGAAUUUUACAGCUUUACAUAAUUUGGGUUUUCGAGGUCCUUAUAGUUGGUGUUGAGGGUGGAUUUUUGAAAGAUUAUACAAGGCUAUUGGUAAUGGUGCCUGGUUUAAUGAGUUUCCUAAUACAUUAGUCACGCAUCUUCCAAGGCUUAAAUCUUAUCACAGAUCACUUUUUCUAUUUGUGAGACCUGAGCAGAGGGUCCCCAAGGAGAGACCCUUUAGAUUUCUUGUUGGUUGGCUGAAGCAUCCAAGGUUUUAGGAUUUUUUUAAGGGUCAAUGAGGCUUUAAUGGUAAUUUGGUUGAUUCCCUUUCUAAUCUUUCCAUAGAUCUCAAAAAGUGGAAUCGUAUUGUUUAUGGUCAUUUAGGUACUCGCAAAAGACACCUGGUGAACAAGCUCUCAAGUAUUCAAAGAAAAAUGGAGGGUUUUGAUUCUAAUAUAUUCCUCCAAUUAGAGAUUAAAACUUGAGAAGAGUUGGAAAGUGCUUUACAUCAUGAGGAGCUUCUCUAGAAGUAGAAAUCCAGAUGCGAAUGGUUAAAUUUAAGGGACCGUAAUACUAGAUUUUUCACUGUUAGACUCUGCAGAGAAGGAAAUAAAAUCGUGUCACUACUUUGAAAGGUGGUAAUGAUUCAUGGAUCUAUGAUGAUAAGCCUUGCAACUUGAAGCUAUCAAUUUCUUUCAAAAGUUAUAUGGCGAACAACCAAAACCCAUGGGUAUUUUACCCCCUAGCUCAUUUCCUACCCUUGAUAAUCGUGAUAUCCAAUUCCUCGGAAAAGAGGUGUUUAAUGAUGAGAUCAAAACAUCCCUUUUUUGUAUAGCCUCGUUGAAGGUUCUUGGGAGUGAUGGCUUUCAGGUUUUUUUGUUUCAGAAACAAUGAGAUUUUAUUGGCUCUAAGAUCAGUGAGUGGGUUAAAGCAAUAUUUGUUGGUAAGAGUAUUAAGCUUGAGUUGAAUAAUAUUCUGCUAGUCCUCAUUCCUAAAGUUCUUAGUCCAGAAAACUUUUCCCAAUUUUGCUUGAUUAGUUUGUAUUCAGUGAUGUAUAAAUUAGUCAUGAAAGUCAUUGUUAACCGUUUUAAAUUUGUUUUUCGUAAUAUUGUUGGUCGGGAAUAGGUAGGCUUCAUUGCAAGUCGUAAUAUUACUAACAAUAUCCUGAUUGCUCAGGAAGUCAUCCACACAAUGAGGAGCAAGCAUAGAAACAGGAACUGGAUGGUUGUCAAAAUCAACCUAGAAAAAGCCUAAAAUAAAGUACAACGGGAGUUCAUCGGGGCUUCCCUUUAGGCUACAUGUAUCUUUGAUAUGUUUAUUAAUUUUAUAAUGUCUACUAUUACGAGUUCUACUAUGUAGGUGUUAUAGAAUGGAGCUCCAACACAAAAGUUUAAGCCUGCGAAGGGUAUUCGUUAGGGAUGUCUGCUUUUGUCGUAUCUCUUUGUCUUAUGCAUGAAAUGGCUUAGUCAUAGCUUUUAUCAAGCCAUUGAGAGUGGCCUUUGGCGGCCCAUUAGAUUGUCGAGAUUUGGUUCUACUUUUUCACUUCUAUUUUUUGUAGACGAUCUAGUCAUCUUUGGUCAUACAAACCUAUAAAAAAUUUCGUCACUUAAAGAUAUUUUAGAGAGAUUUUGUAGGUAUUCUGGGUAUCAGAUUAAUGUUUAAAAGACUGAUAUUUAUUUCUCCAAAGGUAUGGAUGAUACUAUUAGCUCACAGUUGAGUGAUAUUCUCGGUUUUCAUAGGGUUUACAACCUUGGCAUGUAUUUAGGGGUACCCCUUCUUCACGAAAAGAUUUCAAAAUGUUCUCGCGCUUUGUGGUCGAUAAGAUUUGCAGUAAAUUAAACAAACGAGAUGCCAAGAAACUCUCUAUAGCUAGUAGAGCUACCUUAGCAUAGUUAGUUCCUUUAUCUGUUAUCAACUAUUUUAUGCAGUCCAUGAUGAUUCCUAAAGAAAUAUGUGAUGAGAUUGAAUGCAUUGUCAGACAAUUCAUAUGGGGUUCAUUUGAUGGCUAUCAGAAGGUUUUUUUGGUUAAUUGGGAGUCUGUUUGUCAACCUUGGUCCUAUGGAGAUCUUGGCAUUAGACACCUAAAGGACCAAAAUACCUCUUUAACGAUGAAGUUAGGGUACAGUUUAAUCUCCAAACAAGAUACCUUAUGGGUUAGUGUUCUUCAGUCCAAAUAUGAUAUGAAAGAUACUUUAUCGGAUAAUAUCUCGUAAGGGAAAUGCUCUUCUCUAUGGAAAGCUUUUUCGAAGGUUUAGCCCUUAAAUCGAGAAAAUUUGUGUUGGUUAGUUGGUAAUGAGACCAAUAUUAGGUGUUGAAGAGAUCCGUAGAUCCCGAAGGUAGGGCUUUUGAUUGAUCAUAUUUCGACCCAUGUUAAUAUUAAUCUAGAUUGAAUGCUUAAUGAUAUGGUCAAUGAGGAGGUUUCAUGGAACUUGGAGUUUUUUCGUCUUUGGUUACCGAAGGUAAUUAUUAAAUGUAUUGUGGGUAUUCCCUCACCCCAUUCGUCUGUAGGUUAUGACAGGAUUAUUUGGUCUUGGAAUUCAAAUGGCACAUUCUCUCUUAAAAGUAUUUAUUGGUAUAUUUAGGAAAGGUCAUAGAUAUCGAAUGAUGCACAGUGGAAUAUACCAAGGAAAUUUUAGAGGCCCCAAAGGGUCUGAUUCUUCAUAUGGCUUGUUCUAAAAUAGAGGCUGAUAACUAACGUGGAGUGUGCUAAGCGAGGAAUAGGAUAUGAUAGUUCUUGUGGUAUAUGCAGUUAUCAUUUUGAAGAUAUUUUACAUGUUAUUCGUGACUAUCUAACAUAUAAAGAAAUAUGGAUACAAGUUAUCCCAAAUGAAACUAGUGGAAGUUUGUUUUAUAGAAGACCUUCUUCAGUGGGUAAAUUCUAAUUUGCAGUGUCUUGCAAAACCAGUCGUCGGUGAGGUAAAUUGGUCAUGUUUAUUUGCUUUACUAAUCUAGUGGUUUGGAAAAAUCGGAACCUUUUUCAUUUUCAAGGCUUUUCUUGGAGCAUAAGGGAGAUUGUUAAAAUUUCUUAUAUGUGGGCAAAAUAGUUUAUUUCUUUUCAUAAGGAGGAUGUAUCCAGAUGGAAGGGACAAAGCUUAAAUGUCGAGAUGCAGGAAAGUUGGAUCAACCUAUGCACUGAUAGGGUGGUUCAAAUUAUUUCGAAAAAUACUGCAGCGAGGGGAGUCAUAACAAUUAGAAAUAAGGAAAAGAUUAUGGGAUAUAGUAGUAAUUUUGGCAAAUGCUCAGUCUUUGAUAUUAAACUGUGGGAUAUUUUUGAUGGAUUAGCUCUCAUUCAUAACAGGAGCUAUGAUGGUGUAUUGAUACAAACCGAUAGUUUGAAGGUGGUAAAAGCCAUUCAGAAUUCCUUUUUUUCAAGUUCGAACUCUGCCCUCAUUAGACGUAUUGACCACUUGCUGCUGAAUGGAGGUUCGCUGGAUAUUCAACAUCUUCCUAGGGAUUGAAAGAAAACUACAGAUGUUUGCCCAAAAUGGCUUUUGAUGAACAGCAAGGACUGAAGACUUUUGAGGAGAUUCUAAGAGAGGUGCUAGCAAUUUCUCCUAUAGCCCAAACAAGUGAUAGCUCUGCUCAAAGAAUUAUUAUAUAGUUAAAUUAUCUUGUUUGUUUUACUCUACCAAAAAAAAAGACAAAUAAUACACCGACUAAUUAAAAUUAGAAAUAUAUAUUACAUAUUUAUAAGCCCAAUUUAUAUUAUAUAAAUAUAAGUCUAAUAUAUUUAAAUCAAAUAAACUUAUAACUAUUGAUAUAAUGCACCAAAAGAAAAUAUUAUAAAAAAUAAUAUUAAUGUAAUGUUAAUUUAGUGUUGCAAUGAAAAU
rnacentral:lncRNA from 1 species